UACGUAGGGGGCAAGCGUUGUCCGGAUUUAUUGGGCGUAAAGAGUGUGUAGGCGGCCAAGCAGGUCCGCUGUGAAAACUCGAGGCUCAACCUCGAGACGUCGGUGGAAACCGUUUGGCUAGAGUCCGGAAGAGGAGAGUGGAAUUCCCGGUGUAGCGGUGAAAUGCGCAGAUAUCGGGAAGAACACCCGUGGCGAAGGCGGCUCUCUGGAACGCAACUGACGCUGAGACGCGAAAGCGUGGGGAGCAAACAGG
rnacentral:rRNA from 1 species